rnacentral:rRNA from 1 species
ACGUGGGUAAUCUGCCCUCCAGUCGGGGAUAGCCUGUGGAAACACAGGAUAAUACCGGAUGCGAUGGUCUGACAGAAGUUGGAUUAGGAAAGGGGCCAAGGCCCCGCUGGAGGAUGAGCCCGCGUCCCAUUAGCUAGAUGGCAGGGUAAAGGCCUACCAUGGCGAUGAUGGGUAGCCGGCCUGAGAGGGUGAACGGCCACAUUGGAACUGAGACACGGUCCAGACUCCUACGGGAGGCAGCAGCUAAGUAAUCUUCCACAAUGGACGGAAGUCUGAUGGAGCGACGCCGCGUGCGCGAAUGAAGGCCGUGAGGUUGUAAAGCGUCUUUUCUUGGAGGGGAACAACACAUCCAGGGAAUGGGAUGUGGAUGACGUGAAUCGAGGAAUAAGCCCCGGCUAACUACGUGCCAGCCGCCGC